UUUAUUUACUGUGCUGAUUUUAGAUUUUUGUAACACUGAUAGCCAGAUUUUGUUCAUUUUCAUGGUUUCCUCGCUUUCUCUCACCUUGGACCUUCCACAGAUAUAUAAACCCCACUUGCCUAGUUUCCAACAGAGCUCACAAUCUCUGAGGAUGCCUGCCAUAGAUGUGGGCGAAACGUCGCGAGAGAAUGAUUCUGCAACAUGGCCACACAGCCCAGAAAACUCACAGCAACCCAGUGAUUCUGGCCAUGAAAGCCUUCGACAACACAUUUUCUAGGGGGUUAUUUGUUAUCUAGGGGCAACAGUUUGAAUCUGCCUUAAAUGGCCAACGCGGACGGGGCCUUUGUCGCCAGGCCAAGGAGGAGGGAGCGGGAAGGCAAAGGGCGAGUCUUUAUCGAGGACUGACAAGGCUGGAAGCGGAAGAGAAGCCGGUGCGGGAGGCUCCAUGAGCUGGAGGGGAAGGAGGGGGGAGGGAUGGAGGCGGCGGGGAAAGUGUGCUGCUUUUUCCUCUGGGAGCUCUUGCUGGCGCCCCUUUCCCCCCUCGCCUCUUUCCCCCCCAAAGGGCGCUUCCCAGCGCCAGGCAGAGAGCGAGCCAGAAGCCGACGAGGAGCCAGUCUCGGGCCCUGUGCGACGCGAAAAGAUGGCGCUGCCUCGCCUGGCUCCCCUCCCCCUCCAUCCUCCUCCUCUUCCCUCUCGGCUGCUUCCACUUCCUCCCCAGCAGCUCCGCUCCUGCAGUCGGACACCGUCCUUAAUAGCUCUCGAUGUCAAAAGAAAGUGAGCAGUUUCAAUAAUCAAGAAAACCUGGGCACUGUUUGGAACUAGUCUGAGGAGGAAGAGGAUUUCAGGAAUGUUAUCUGUUUUCACAAACAAUGCAGACUCAGAUGCAUCAACCACUUCUGGCAAAAGAUACUACAAACUGUGGGUGCCAAUGGCUAUUACACAUUACAUUUGUUUUUGUUUCCUCUUUGAGCCUUCCAGGUGAGAUGGAAAUUUAAAUAAAUAAUUAACUAUGGAAUGUGAGUGCAUUGAAACCUGAGUGGGCACUGCUACUGUUAUUUUCCAGGCAGAUAAACAAACACAGACCAACCUUUCCCUUACCAGCUAGUAAAGAGAGAACUAAAGUUAUUCCAGACAGGACACCACAUCUAAGAAUGGAGAAGACUGGAUAAUAAAAAUGCAGGCAGAUUGAAGACUGAAUUGGGGUGGGGUAGGGGAACUCCCCUUACUGCCACUGAGUAAUGGAAGCUCAUGAUAUCAGAUUAUUAUUAACAAAGCAUCUGCACUGGGAAACUCUUCAAAGGACCUUACAACAUGUAAAAGAUUAACAGAUUUACUAUGGCAUAAGCUGCUAGUUGCAUUAUUGUCUGUCUUACUGUAGUAUAAUCUGCCAAGGUGUCAUCUGAUCCCUUUGAAACGCCUGCCAUUAUAGAGGAACAUGACCACCCCUAUCUCCAUUUGUUAUUAAAAGCCUUCAAGUCCGCUCUGUCUUAUGGCAAAGCUCUCAUAAAAUUUAUGACAAGAUUUAUUCUGAGGAUGUUUGUCACCGCCUUCCUCUAAGACUGAGUGACUUAUUCAAAG
rnacentral:lncRNA from 11 species